UUGACCCUACGGGAGGCAGCAGUGGGGAAUAUUGGGCAAUGGGCGCAAGCCUGACCCAGCAACGCCGCGUGAAGGAAGAAGGCUUUCGGGUUGUAAACUUCUUUUCUCAGGGACGAAGCAAAUGACGGUACCUGAGGAAUAAGCCACGGCUAACUACGUGCCAGCAGCCGCGGUAAUACGUAGGUGGCAAGCGUUAUCCGGAUUUACUGGGUGUAAAGGGCGUGUAGGCGGGAAAGCAAGGCAGGUGGGGAAACCAUGGGCUCAACGUGUGGCC
rnacentral:rRNA from 1 species